CGUCAGGGGCUACGAAGUAAGAACUAGCGAACCCCGCCAGGGCAGGAAUGCAGCAACGGCAGUUAGCUUCCUACUGUCGUAGUCCUCUGACACUU
rnacentral:SRP_RNA from 1 species